rnacentral:sRNA from 1 species
AUGGCGGAGACCGUCUGGAGCACUGACACCGGGGAGGCAGUGUAUCGCUCCCGGGACCCCGUGCGCAACUUGCGCCUCCGAGUCCACCUGCAAAGAAUCACAUCAAGCAACUUUCUUCAUUAUCAGCCUGCUGCCGAGCUCGGGAAGGACCUCAUAGACUUGGCCACUUUUAGGCCUCAGCCAACUGCCAGUGGACACCGCCCAGAGGAAGACGAAGAGGAGGAGAUUGUGAUUGGGUGGCAGGAGAAGCUCUUUAGCCAGUUUGAAGUAGAUCUGUACCAAAAUGAAACAGCCUGUCAGAGUCCUUUGGAUUAUCAGUACCGUCAGGAGAUCCUGAAGCUGGAGAAUUCGGGUGGCAAGAAAAACCGACGAAUCUUUACCUACACUGACUCUGAUAGAUACACCAAUUUGGAGGAGGUAUUGUUCUUUCUAGGGUCUCAUAGCUUCCAUCUUUGCUUCCUCUAGCUUUUUUGCCUCACUGAGUUCUGUGUGUUAUGUCAGAGCCUAGUAAGGGGAGACAAGUAGCCUGUCUAGGAACUGCUGUGAGCUGCUGCUGCUGGCAGCCAGCCUGGAAUAGAAUGGGCACAGUCUACAGGUGGUGAGGCUGCUGCUCCCUUCUCUGCCUGCUAGAGGGCCUGGGGGAGCUGCCAGUAUCUCUGAUUAUAUGCUUGCAGAGUGCAUACUGGGAGAAGUAACCACUGGGCUUGACUUCCUCCAUGCAUCAUGAAAAAAGACAGGUGGUGGAGUCUGGAACAAUCUAGAUAAAAUUCAUCAGGGGAUUCAGCCCAAACUCUGAGUAUAUGGGUUUGAAGAGGAAUUCAGUAUAGCUAUGGAAAAUGGCUUAUGUCCUCAAUUUGCCUAUGACAAAAAUACCCUUGUGACCUUGUUUUACAUUUUCU